GACGAACGCUGGCGGCGUGCUUAACACAUGCAAGUCGAACGGUAAGGCCCUUCGGGGUACACGAGUGGCGAACGGGUGAGUAACACGUGGGUGAUCUGCCCUGCACUUCGGGAUAAGCCUGGGAAACUGGGUCUAAUACCGGAUAGGACCACUGCCUGCAUGGGUGGUGGUGGAAAGCUUUUGCGGUGUGGGAUGGGCCCGCGGCCUAUCAGCUUGUUGGUGGGGUGAUGGCCUACCAAGGCGACGACGGGUAGCCGGCCUGAGAGGGUGACCGGCCACACUGGGACUGAGAGACGGCCCAGACUCCUACGGGAGGCAGCAGUGGGGAAUAUUGCACAAUGGGCGCAAUCCUGAUGCAGCGACGCCGCGUGAGGGAUGACGGCCUUCGGGUUGUAAACCUCUUUCAGCACCGACGAAGCGCAAGUGACGGUAGGUGCAGAAGAAGGACCGGCCAACUACGUGCCAGCAGCCGCCGCAG
rnacentral:rRNA from 1 species